rnacentral:lncRNA from 1 species
CCACAAGACAACUGUGAUGCCUCAGGUCAAAGGACUAAUUUGCAUUAUCUCAAACAUGAGUUCUCAUGUGACAUGAGUAUGAGAACUCUUCGUUGAUCGCGUUCAGUGAACUCAUUCUCUACUGAGCACCUACGUACUUGUCUUGAUGUCACACACACACCAAUGACUCGAGACUAGUCACUCUCCCUGAGAGAAGACAUAGCACGUACCGAUCUUGACGGACUGUCAAUGCCCAAUUGGCAAUCCUAUGAUCAGGAACAUUCAGGAUGUGUCUACGAAAGAAUGGUCUCAUGAAUCUAACUUCAUUAGAUUACAUUCUCCCAAUCACAUAUUCCUUGGACUUUAUCGUUUAAGCAUAUAACAUUUAUAUGAGACGGCUCAAACAAUAAUCUAUGCCCUUUAUAUGUAAACUAGAUUAGUUUAACAUGUGAAAUGUCCGUAAAGUAUCAUCAUAUGAUUGGCUUUAGGGCACAUUUCCAACACACAAUCCCAUAGAUUGUCUUGAAUGGAUUGUAUAUGUACCUAAGUAAUCUCAUCCUCACAAUCUUCCUAGUGACAAUGUAUCAAUGGAAGAAUGUGGAGCCAAAAAUAAUCAAGGCGACACGUGGAUUUUUGGGUAGAAGAGGACAAAAAUACCCUUGAGGCGUACCAAGAUUCAUACGCGCGAGCGGCGGACUACCAUCCUCAAGUCAAAAGUGCCCAAAAUAGGUAACAAUUUAAAGCCUAUUUCAUCAAAUCCUUUCUAUAAGGUAAUUCCUAAAACCUAAUUUAUUCUAUAUAUUUUGUAUUCCAUUAUUUAGCUAAUUAAUUAGCUAAAUAAUAUUUUCCUUUCAUAUUCCCUAAAAAUUGAUUAAUUAAGGGAUUAAUUACCUAAUCAAUCCCUUAAUUAUCAAUUAAAACACCCAUUCACACCUAAAAAUACUAAAAGGCCUGCUAUCCCCAUUCAACACCUAAUCCAUCACUUUUUCUACCUUUUUUCACCAUUUCUUCCCUUUUAUUAGCCAAUUAAUUCCAUAACUACCAAAACAUUUCCUUCUAUGUUUAAUUAGCCAAUUAAUUGGCUAACUAAACAAAAAUAAAACCUAAAAACCCUACUUAGUGGCCGGCCACAUUUCUUCUAAAGUGAACCAACCUAGCCCUAUAAAUAGGCUCCUAUUUUCACCAAAUAUUCAUUCCAACACUUUGGCAAAAAUCCCAAAAUUCUCUAAACACUCUUUCUUUCUAAAUUCUAACUUUGGCAUCGGAGGUUCUUCGGCCAAAGCCCCCAUUCAUAGUGGGCGCG